UACGUAGGGUGCAAGCGUUGUCCGGAAUUACUGGGCGUAAAGCGUGCGCAGGCGGUUCGUUAAGACAGAUGUGAAAUCCCCGGGCUUAACCUGGGAACUGCAUUUGUGACUGGCGAGCUAGAGUACGGUAGAGGGGGAUGGAAUUCCGCGUGUAGCAGUGAAAUGCGUAGAUAUGCGGAGGAACACCGAUGGCGAAGGCACUCUACUGGGCCACUACUGACACUGAGAGACGAAAGCUAGGGGAGCAAAUGGG
rnacentral:rRNA from 1 species